rnacentral:rRNA from 1 species
CACGUAGGGUGCGAGCGUUGUCCGGAAUUAUUGGGCGUAAAGAGCUCGUAGGCGGUCCGUCACGUCGGAUGUGAAAUUCCAGGGCUCAACCCUGGACCUGCAUUCGAUACGGGCGGACUAGAGUUCGGUAGGGGAGACUGGAAUUCCUGGUGUAGCGGUGAAAUGCGCAGAUAUCAGGAGGAACACCGGUGGCGAAGGCGGGUCUCUGGGCCGAUACUGACGCUGAGGAGCGAAAGCAUGGGGUAGCGAACAGG